GACGAACGCUGGCGGCGUGCCUAACACAUGCAAGUCGAACGAAGAUACGAUUUCGGUUGUAUCUUAGUGGCGAACGGGUGAGUAACGCGUGAGCAACCUGACCUUCAGAGGGGGAUAACAUUUGGAAACAGAUGCUAAUACCGCAUAAGACCACGCCGUGGCACCACGGAGAGGUCAAAGGAGCAAUCCGCUGAAUGAGGGGCUCGCGUCCCAUUAGAUAGAUGGCGGGGUAACGGCCCACCAUGUCGACGAUGGGUAGCCGAGCUGAGAGGCUGAUCGGCCACACUGGAACUGAGACACGGUCCAGACUCCUACGGGAGGCAGCAGUGGGGAAUAUUGGGCAAUGGGCGCAAGCCUGACCCAGCAACGCCGCGUGAGGGAAGAAGGCUUUCGGGUUGUAAACCUCUGUCCUUGGUGACGAAAAAAAUGACGGUAGCCAAGGAGGAAGCCCCGGCUAACUACGUGCCAGCCGCCGCCGUAAGAC
rnacentral:rRNA from 1 species